GAUUCAUACACGUUCACCAACUCCCAUUUCGUUAAGUUACCUUUUAGCUUUGGGAUUUCUUAGGCAGGUAGGUAGGCUGGCACUUAAAUGUUCAUGAUUUAAGUUUAUAAGCGGGUGUUAUUUAAUAAUUUCCCGGGAAAAAAUAGAACCCAGUACUUAAAUUCCACUUGACCCGAUGUCCCACCUUGCUUUUAGAAUCCCAUUAUACGAUACCUAGCUCAACCUUAAUUCAACUUUAUCUCUACCU